rnacentral:rRNA from 1 species
AUUGAACGCUGGCGGCAGGCCUAACACAUGCAAGUCGAGCGGAACGGCGGACGGAUGAGUAAUGCCUAGGAAGCUAACUGGUCGUGGGGGAUAACGUCCGGAAACGGGCGCUAAUAACGACUACUUUCCGAUGAGUCUAGGUCGGAUGAGCUAGCUGGUGGGGUAAGGUCCUACCAAGGCGACGAUCCGUCACUGGUCUGAGAGGAUGAAGAGCCACACGGGAACUGAGACACGGUCCAGACUCCUACGGGAGGCAGCAGUGGGGAAUAUUGGACAAUGGGCGCAAGCCUGAUCCAGCCAUGCCGCGUGUGUGAAGAAGGUCUUCGGGUUGUAAAGUACUUUAAGUGGGGAGGCGUUACCCACAGAAGAAGCACCGGCUAACGCCGUGCCAGCAGCCGCGGUAAUUC